UCAAGUUGUAGGGUGUACACACUUAAAUCGAGAAUUUCAGCUCGGUAAUAUUUUUUACUGAUUUUAUUCGGUAAAAGAAGAAUUGAACCGAGAGCUCAGUUGAUUUCAAAGAUUUAACUGAUCUCUGUAAUAAUUUUCACCGAUGUUUCAGUUGUAAAAAAUAAAAUACAGAGUUUCGGUAGAUUGAAUUACCGAUCAACUCUGUUCUAAGUAAAUGUCCUGCACUUGUCAAAACAUUAACCGAUCACUCAGUAAAAAUAAAUUCACUUUACUGAACACCUGGUAAAACAAGUACCGAGUUAUCAGUUCUCGACCAGGUACCGCAUGUUUCGACGCCAUAUUUAUUUGCGAGUCAGAACGAGUUUGUUUCAGUCGAGAUUAAUGCUACCGGUGGAAAUUUUGCUUUAUUGGAUAUUCAGGACAAAUAUGAAAAAAAUGUAUCAUCAGCUGGCACAGUCCCUACUGCUAUCUCCAACAUGCGUUGUGCCGAUUUUAUGGAACUCGAUCUAUAAUAAGACAUCAGAUAUAAUAAAACGAAUGAGGUUCCCUGCGUCCAUCUUGGUGAUAGCUUCCUGGGCGAUAAUGGAAUUGCGCUAGUGCUACAGCAAUGAGACAGCAGCAAACAUAUUUUGUACAAAGUUUUCUGACUCUAAAAAACAAUAAUAAAUAUAAAAGCC